rnacentral:tRNA from 1 species
GCCUCCGUGGUGUAAUGGUCAGCACGCGGUCGGCGUGUAUUCGAGAGGUCCAUGGUUCGAGUCCCGGCGAGGGCA